rnacentral:rRNA from 1 species
GAUGAACGCUGGCGGCGUGCCUAAUACAUGCAAGUCGAGCGAACGGACUAGAAGCUUGCUUCUCUGAUGUUAGCGGCGGACGGGUGAGUAACACGUGGAUAACCUACCUAUAAGACUGGGAUAACUUCGGGAAACCGUAGCUAAUACCGGAUAAUAUUUUGAACCGCAUGGUUCAAAAGUGAAAGACGGUCUUGCUGUCACUUAUAGAUGGAUCCGCGCUGCAUUAGCUAGUUGGUAAGGUAACGGCUUACCAAGGCAACGAUGCAUAGCCGACCUGAGAGGGUGAUCGGCCACACUGGAACUGAGACACGGUCCAGACUCCUACGGGAGGCAGCAGUAGGGAAUCUUCCGCAAUGGGCAAAAUCCUGACGGAGCAACGCCGCGUGAGUGAUGAAGGUCUUCGGAUCGUAAAACUCUGUUAUUAGGGAAGAACAUAUGUGUAAGUAACUGUGCACAUCUUGACGGUACCUAAUCAGAAAGCAACGGCUAACUACGUG